UUUGACACGACAUUGCUCACAUUGCUUCCAGUGUAAUUUAUAGCUUUUAGGUACAGCUGUGGUAUU
rnacentral:antisense_RNA from 1 species